rnacentral:rRNA from 1 species
AGUGAACGCUGGCGGUAGGCCUAACACAUGCAAGUCGAACGGCAGCACAGUAAGAGCUUGCUCUUACGGGUGGCGAGUGGCGGACGGGUGAGGAAUACAUCGGAAUCUACUUUUUCGUGGGUGAUAACGUAGGGAAACUUACGCUAAUACCGCAUACGACCUACGGGUGAAAGCAGGGGAUCUUCGGACCUUGCGCGAUUGAAUUAGCCGAUGCCGGAGUAGCUAGUUGGCGGGGUAAAGGCCCACCAAGGUGACGAUCCGUAGCUGGUCUGAGAGGAGGAGCGGCAACAAGGGAACUGAGAAACGGUCCAGACCACGACGGGAGGCAGCAGUAGGGAAUCUGACGAAAUGGGCGAAAGAAUGAAGGAGCAACGCCGCGGGAGUGAGGAAGGUCUUCGGAUCGUAAAACUCUGUGAUGAGGGAAGAACAGAUGGGUAAGGAACUGUGCAAAUCUGGACGGUACCGAAGCAGAAAGCCACGGCUAAUUACGU